rnacentral:lncRNA from 1 species
UUUUGCAACGUUAUGUAAUCUUUUCGGGGACUUUCCAUGGACCUGCCGGCGAAGUAAGGGAAUGAUAUGCGCACGCCGCCGAAUAACUAAUUAUCAGUAAACAGUUAACCUGCAGGUAUCGCGUUGAACUUCUUAAUGCAAUGCCAACAUAAACCAAACAGGACAAGCCUACAACAUGACUUCCAAAGGGUGGCAUGUAUGUUAGAAGCGCCCUGCAUUCCGCUAAGGUACAGCUUGUUAGCUAUUUGGACGGAACAGUCUUUUUUGCGUUUUUUUCCGAGUACCUCUUACACUGCUUGUCCUGCGCAUCCUUUACAUGUACUACGGCUAAGGGAUCCCUUCCGGAUGAUGAAGAAUGUGCUUUAUGCUGGACCAAUUACACAUCACGAUCAGCAUCGAUUAAGCGGCUCCAGGAGCUGGUACCAGCUGGUACCGGCCGGUGCUUAGGGCCCGAUCCGCCGCCGGGAGGACGACUUCCUGAGGCAAACACGACGGACAUCCCGAACGGUGCUUACAUCCGUGUUAUGGAAAUUGCUCUUACGUGUGUGGACCGGACGGAUGGACAUGAGGCAACGUUUUGCAUCACUUGUUUCUUGGCCGCAAGCAGCAACGUAGUGAAGGACAUGGACGCGCAUGCACAGGCCAUGGAAUGGUAUGUCUAAAUCAUGGAUGGCGACGUUCAACUCUCAGAAUGGUGAUUUCUGCCUUUGGGUUCAAUUCUGAACCUGGAAUGCUGCUGGCUCUGCCCGUACCGGAAAAGUGCUUUCCGGUACGGCGGUGUCAGGAGGUGGUAUGUACGUCGUCUUAGGGGCAACCCUAAGACCAAGGGGAUGAACGAAUAGAGAUAUACUUUCUGUUUCUUGGCUGCAGCAAGUGUUGUCCUGGGCGCAACGUUGAUGGCCUGAUGCCGACGCGACCUCCUUUACGACAAUGCUAGGCAAACGCAGCGGAUGUUCAUGAAUUACUUAAGCGUUCAUAUUACUCGUCACAGCUUCAACGGCACUGUACUGGGCGGAUGUAAGACGUGCGUUGGUGGACGCGAUGGCCUUACGAAGGGGGAGAAAGACGCUUAGGAGAUGCUUGGAUUGUUAUGUACAAGUCACGGACGGGGACGUUUAACUCUAUGAAUGCUGAGUUUUAGCUACUAGUCGGGUUUUUUGAACUUCGCUGUUGUUGGUUCCGCCCGUACAGGAAAAGUGUCUUCUGAUACGGCGGUCACAGCAGGUAGUAUCCACGUCGACUUGUAUGCAAACCNAAAUACAACGAAACCAGGGGAUGAUAUGACAGUUUUGGAAUGCUUGUUUCUUGGCCGCAAGCAGCAGCAUACUUAAAUCGCGUUGGGCCAUUUGCCCAGGCUGCCGCGAGGACGACAAGCCAGGCUAAUGCAGCUGGUGUCCAUGAUUGGAUCAUUACGUGCUGAAUAUGAAAGAUUGCUACGAAGACUCUGACCCUGACGAACGUAAAAUGUGAUGUUCGUAAGGAAGAAAACAGACGCAUAUCCAAGGCAUGGAGCUGUUUGUAGGGAAACCGUAAAUGAAGGUUUAAGGAACUGAACGAUGAAUUCUGCCGGUGUGGUCGGUUCUGGAUCUCUUAUGUUGCUCGUCACGCUCCUAAGGAAAAUGUACAUUUGUUGCAGGAGGGAGUCUGUGUGUCAAGUCGUAGUCAAACCUUUUUCAAAGGGGAUGAGCACACACACAGCUUGCAUUCCAUGUUCACUAACGUCAGCCCACAGUAAGCUACUGGGCUAGACUUGGAGGGUCCGACCGGGGCAACUCGUUGCUGUGGACUUGUAGGCAAGUCAAGUAGGGCUAUGGAAUGCUAGGACAAUGUUAUUAUGUUUGUGUUAUAGGCUUGGGUAGGAAUUCUUAAGCAAUACGUUGAGUGGCUUUUCCGCCGGCGGGAGGACGACAAUCCCAUGCAAACAGGACGGAUGUUCCGAAUGUUGCUUACAUUCAUGUUGUCGAAGCUCGCGACGACGGCUCUGGACAGGACGGAUGUCAAGUGUGCGUUGGUGGACGUGAUGGCAACGUAGUGAAGGACACGGACGCGCAUGCACAGGCCAUGGAAUGGUAUGUCUAAAUCAUGGAUGGCGACGUUCAACUCUCAGAAUGGUGAUUUCUGCCUUUGGGUUCAAUUCUGAACCUGGAAUGCUGCUGGCUCUGCCCGUACCGGAAAAGUGCUUUCCGGUACGGCGGUGUCAGGAGGUGGUAUCUACGUCGUCUUAGGGGCAACCCUAAGACCAAGGGGAUGAACGAAUAGAGAUAUANNNNNNNNNNNNNNNNNNNNNNNNNNNNNNNNNNNNNNNNNNNNNNNNNNGUACCGUUACCACGUCCGAACCGACCACUUUUUCCAAAAAGUUUCAACGUAACGUAGCAUGUGAACUGGCUAUUACAGCGCUAGCCGUCAGCGAUUUCUGGCUUACCAGGGUCUCAAGAUCUAGGACCUCUUUUCCGAAAGCACUGAAAGGAGUUUUGCAACGUUAUGUAAUCUUUUCGGGGACUUUCCAUGGACCUGCCGGCGAAGUAAGGGAAUGAUAUGCGCACGCCGCCGAAUAACUAAUUAUCAGUAAACAGUUAACCUGCAGGUAUCGCGUUGAACUUCUUAAUGCAAUGCCAACAUAAACCAAACAGGACAAGCCUACAACAUGACUUCCAAAGGGUGGCAUGUAUGUUAGAAGCGCCCUGCAUUCCGCUAAGGUACAGCUUGUUAGCUAUUUGGACGGAACAGUCUUUUUUGCGUUUUUUUCCGAGUACCUCUUACACUGCUUGUCCUGCGCAUCCUUUACAUGUACUACGGCUAAGGGAUCCCUUCCGGAUGAUGAAGAAUGUGCUUUAUGCUGGACCAAUUACACAUCACGAUCAGCAUCGAUUAAGCGGCUCCAGGAGCUGGUACCAGCUGGUACCGGCCGGUGCUUAGGGCCCGAUCCGCCGCCGGGAGGACGACUUCCUGAGGCAAACACGACGGACAUCCCGAACGGUGCUUACAUCCGUGUUAUGGAAAAUUGCUCUUACGUGUGUAGACCGGACGGAUGGACAAGAGGCAACGUUUUGCAUCACUUGUUUCUUGGCCGCAAGCAGCAACGUAGUGAAGGACAUGGACGCGCAUGCACAGGCCAUGGAAUGGUAUGUCUAAAUCAUGGAUGGCGACGUUCAACUCUCAGAAUGGUGAUUUCUGCCUUUGGGUUCAAUUCUGAACCUGGAAUGCUGCUGGCUCUGCCCGUACCGGAAAAGUGCUUUCCGGUACGGCGGUGUCAGGAGGUGGUAUCUACGUCGUCUUAGGGGCAACCCUAAGACUAAGCCCAAUGGCAUACUCCAGGCCGGUUCCGGCCCGGUUCCGACCUAACGGGUCCAGUUAACGAGAUGGGUAACCGGUCGGUAGG